AGUGAACGCUGGCGGUAGGCCUAACACAUGCAAGUCGAACGGCAGCACAGUAAGAGCUUGCUCUUACGGGUGGCGAGUGGCGGACGGGUGAGGAAUACAUCGGAAUCUACUUUUUCGGGGGGGAUAACGUAGGGAAACUUACGCUAAUACCGCAUACGACCUACGGGUGAAAGCAGGGGAUCUUCGGACCUUGCGCGAGUGAAUGAGCCGAUGGCGGAUUAGCUAGUUGGCGGGGUAAAGGCCCACCAAGGCGACGACCCGUAGCUGGUCUGAGAGGAUGACCAGCCACACUGGAACUGAGACACGGUCCAGACUCCUACGGGAGGCAGCAGUGGGGAAUAUUGGACAAUGGGCGCAAGCCUGAUCCAGCCAUACCGCGUGGGUGAAGAAGGCCUUCGGGUUGUAAAGCCCUUUUGUUGGGAAAGAAAAGAAGCAGGUUAAUACCCCGCUGUUCUGACGGUACCCAAAGAAUAAGCACCGGCUAACUUCGUG
rnacentral:rRNA from 1 species